rnacentral:rRNA from 1 species
AGCAUAUCAAUAAGCGGAGGAAAAGAAACUAACAAGGAUUCCCCUAGUAACUGCGAGUGAAGCGGGAAAAGCUCAAAUUUAAAAUCUGGCAGUCUUUGGCUGUCCGAGUUGUAGUCUGGAGAAGCGUUUUCCGCGUUGGACCGUGUACAAGUCUCCUGGAACGGAGCGUCAUAGAGGGUGAGAAUCCCGUCUUUGACACGGACUACCAGUGCUUUGUGAUGCGCUCUCAAAGAGUCGAGUUGUUUGGGAAUGCAGCUCAAAAUGGGUGGUAAACUCCAUCUAAAGCUAAAUAUUGGCGAGAGACCGAUAGCGAACAAGUACCGUGAGGGAAAGAUGAAAAGCACUUUGGAAAGAGAGUUAAACAGUACGUGAAAUUGCUGAAAGGGAAACGCUUGAAGUCAGUCGCGUUUGCUAGGACUCAGCCUUGCCUCGGCUUGGUGCAUUUCCUAGUAGACGGGCCAGCAUCACUUUUGGCUGCGGGAAAAAGGUUAGAGGAAUGUGGCACCUUCGGGUGUGUUAUAGCCUCUAGCUGUAUACCGUGGCUGGGAGUGAGGAACUCAGCACGCCUUCAUGGCGGGGCUUCGGCCACCUUCGUGCUUAGGAUGCUGGCGUAAUGGCUUUAAACGACCCGUCUUGAAACACGGACCAAGGAGUCUAACAUGCCUGCGAGUGUUUGGGUGGAAAACCCGAGCGCGUAAUGAAAGUGAAAGUUGGGACCUCUGUCGUGGAGGGCACCGACGCCCGGACCAGACCUUCUGUGACGGAUCCGCGGUAGAGCAUGUAUGUUGGGACCCGAAAGAUGGUGAACUAUGCCUGAAUAGGGUGAAGCCAGAGGAAACUCUGGUGGAGGCUCGUAGCGAUUCUGACGUGCAAAUCGAUCGUCAAAUUUGGGUAUAGGGGCGAAAGACUAAUCGAACCAUCUAGUAGCUGGUUCC